rnacentral:rRNA from 1 species
GAUGAACGCUGGCGGCGUGCCUAAUACAUGCAAGUCGAGCGAACGGACGAGAAGCUUGCUUCUCUGAUGUUAGCGGCGGACGGGUGAGUAACACGUGGAUAACCUACCUAUAAGACUGGGAUAACUUCGGGAAACCGGAGCUAAUACCGGAUGAUAUUUUGAACCGCAUGGUUCAAUAGUGAAAGACGGUUUUGCUGUCACUUAUAGAUGGAUCCGCGCUGCAUUAGCUAGUUGGUAAGGUAACGGCUUACCAAGGCAACGAUGCAUAGCCGACCUGAGAGGGUGAUCGGCCACACUGGAACUGAGACACGGUCCAGACUCCUACGGGAGGCAGCAGUAGGGAAUCUUCCGCAAUGGGCGAAAGCCUGACGGAGCAACGCCGCGUGAGUGAUGAAGGUCUUCGGAUCGUAAAACUCUGUUAUUAGGGAAGAACAUAUGUGUAAGUAACUGUGCACGUCUUGACGGUACCUAAUCAGAAAGCCACGGCUAACUACGUG